rnacentral:rRNA from 1 species
GCUAAGGGCUCGAGCAUACUUGCCUGCGUAGACCCUGAGGGUAAGCUGUGCCGGAUACCGGCUUUUAUGUAUCCGGCGCAGCCGGAAGCGUCAACCGUUUGAAUCUCGUAGUCACGACCUGAUCAGGGGUCUGAACAGAAGCACGGCGCGGCGAGCUUGUGAGCCUGGCCCAUGCCCCUCUCAGACAACUCGGCGAUGACAUGUCACUGAAGGUGGUGGACGCUACUUGAUGCUCUUUGGUAUGUAUAAUAUCGACGAAGGUUGAGCCACCUCUCCAGAUGGGGCCCGGGUAGAAGCCGAACUCAAUCACCCAAUCGGUUGGCUUUAUCGGGUUCGGCGCUGAACGGGCAAUUCUAUCGGUGAAAUCUGCGAUUAAUUUGACUUUACCGGGCCGAUUCACUAAACUUGAAAUGUCAAUCAUGUUCGGGGU